rnacentral:tRNA from 1 species
AAUUGUUUAACCUAAUUAAAGGUCCUUGUUUUGAAAACAAGCCAUAAGAGUUAAAAUCUCUUAACAAUUU